GACGAACGCUGGCGGCGUGCUUAACACAUGCAAGUCGAACGGAAAGGCCCCUUUGGGGGUCCUCGAGUGGCGCACGGGUGAGUAACACGUGAGUAACCUGCCCUUGACUUCGGGAUAACUUCAGGAAACUGGGGCUAAUACCGGAUAGGAAUCCUUGCUGCAUGGUGGGGGUUGGAAAGCUUCGGCGGUUUUGGAUGGACUCGCGGCUUAUCAGCUUGUUGGUGGGGUAGUGGCUUACCAAGGCUUUGACGGGUAGCCGGCCUGAGAGGGCGACCGGCCACAUUGGGACUGAGAUACGGCCCAGACGCCGAAGGGAGGCAGCAGUGGGGAAUAUUGCACAAUGGGCGGAAGCCUGAUGCAGCAACGCCGCGUGCGGGAUGACGGCCUUCGGGUUGUAAACCGCUUUCAGCAGGGGCGAAGCUUGUGGUGACGGUACCUGCAGAAGAAGCACCGGCUAACUACGUG
rnacentral:rRNA from 1 species